UGGGGAAUCUUGGACAAUGGGGGCAACCCUGAUCCAGCGACGCCGCGUGGGUGGUAAGGCCUUCGGGUUGUAAAGCCCUUUCACCGGGGAAGAUGAUGACAUUACCCGGAGAAGAAGCGCCGGCUAACUCCGUGCCAGCAGCCGCGGUAAUACGGAGGGUGCGAGCGUUAAUCGGAAUUACUGGGCGUAAAGCGCACGUAGGUGGUUGUGUAAGUCGGAUGUGAAAGCCCAGGGCUUAACCUUGGAAUUGCAUCCGAUACUGCAUGACUAGAGUAUGGUAGAGGGAAGUGGAAUUUCCGGUGUAGCGGUGAAAUGCGUAGAUAUCGGAAGGAACACCAGUGGCGAAGGCGACUUCCUGGGCCAAUACUGACGCUGAGACGCGAAAGCGUGGGGAGCAAACAGGAUUAGAUACCCCCGUAGUCC
rnacentral:rRNA from 1 species